GGCCGCCUGGCGUAAUGGCAACGCGUCUGACUACGAUGUGAUUCGAUAUCGUUGACUUAUCAGGAGAUUGCAGGUUCGACCCCUGCGGUGGUCA